CACGGAGCUUUCGCGAUUUGUUGUGAUUUCGCGUUUUGUUUUGGUUCUAAUCUGGUGAAAUUCCGCGGUGCAUUUCGCAAGUUGUUGUUCCGGAUUUGGUGAUUGCGGAUUAUGGAAUCGAAAGAUGACGACUACUGGAACGAUUCCACCAACAAGUCGUUCAACUUUGACGAGGAUGAGGUGGCCGUCCUGGAGGUGCAGAGUGCCUCGACCGCCGCCAACCGGCGCAGCCUGUUCGGUGAGGACACGGCGUCCGAGGUGCACUUUGCAAACACCCAGCAGGAGUUGCCCCUGUCGGUGAUCAUUUCCGACGAAGAUCUCGCGUCCCUGCUGGAGGACCAGUCGCGCUGCGAAGCCCCACUGCCGAAGGGCAUCUCGCUGGAGGAGGAGGUCAAGCUGCUCCGGCGGCGACUGCAAGAAUGCAGCUACGCCCCGACGGCUGCUUCGGUCGUGGCCAAGCUAGUUUUGGGGAAGAGCUGUUCGCUGGAAAUGUUCCGAUCGCUGGGCGAAAAGGAGGAACUGCUUGACGACGCGGUGGCCAGUGGCAGCGGGAAUGCCAUCCUGAAGGUGGUGCUGUUUCUCGAGCGGACGUUGAAGAAGAAGCUGUUUUACCGGCUGCUGCAGACCCGGCCGGAAGCGGUCAGCCAUUACGUGAACUACAUGGCACUGCGGCUGAAGGUUACCGAGUGUACGGAUUUGCUGGUAUUUCUCGGAAGACAUCACGAAGCCAGUCUACUGCAAUUCUCCAUCUACGUCCGCAGUACGUCCAACGUCGAGUUCAAACGGCAACGGUUGAAAAAGAUCUACAGCGAUUACUUCUCCCAGCCGGGGACCAACAGCUUCUACGCCCAGCUCGUGGCCAAUUACAUCAACUUACUUGAGUUCCAAGUAUCGGAGCAGCACGCCGCCAACGCCGGCUCCAUCCUGGACCGAUCGGUCCUGGAAACGCUCCACUACGCGUGCGGCCGCUACAAGUGGGGCGACACCGCCACCGCCACGCUUCAGUCCCCCGCGAGCCCCUUCAAGCUGGCGGAAGCGCACGCCGUUGGCGCGCCCCAGUUCGAGUGGAUCGCGCUGAACGAACGUGCCCGCGCCAACGCCUGGCUCGACUUUGAGCACAUUUUCGAGCGCAAGGCGUGGCUCAAUCUGAAGCAGCGAAAAUCCUUCACCAUCCACAUCCCGAUCGAUCGGACGAUUCUGCGGCUGGCGGCGCUGAGCGCGCCCGAACCGGUGCUGAACAACUUUCUCGCCAAGGUGGACGAUCCCGCGCGGAGGUUGGGGCUGGCACGGCGCGUUGGCGCCAAGAAAGGCGUCGUGGACGCGCUGGUCGCGCUCAAGGAUCGAACCGAGCUGGAGCUGUUUCGGGACGGGUUGGAGACGGGAACGGAGGAGCGGUUCUACGCGGAGAAUGCGCUCAAGUCGUUGAUAGCCGGAGGAAUGGGUGCGAAAAUGUCUCGCCGUAAAGGGCGGAAGGCCGCUGCGGCCGCCGAAGAGGCCAGUACGGUCGAGGAGUUGGCCACUCCGCGUACGGACGAAGCUGACGUUGACCGGGUUGCGGGUGGCGGACGGGUUGACGGGGGAACUGACUCGGCGGGGGGAAUUCCGGAACCGGAUCCGCCGGUUCUGGAACAAAAUUUAACUGACUCUUGUUUUGACCAUUCCGAUGAACCGGCGGAUCCGGUUCCGGAAGCCCCGGUGGUAAUUGAAAUUCCUUAUUCAUUAAAUAACUCUUUGGCCAAUGCUACGGCGGUUCCGAUUCCGGAACCGCCCGCAGAUCAAAAUUCUACUUUGAAUGAUUUGUCUAUUUCAGGGGGAAUCGAGGGCCAAAUCGACGAGAUUACCGUAGUUCCGAUACCGGAUCCACCGGUCACGGAGCAAAAUUUAAACGACGAUUCUUUGGAAAAUUCCGAAAGACCGGUGGAUCCGGUUGAGGAAUCUACGGUAAUCGACGUAGAAGAAGGUUCCGAACCAUCUGCGGCGGCUUCCAUCUUGGAACCGUCCGCAGAACGGUAUGUUCGUAAAAUUAACUUGGAGGAAGUUCCGGAACAACCAAAUUUAAAGGUAUUUUCAAAUUCUAAAAGAUCAGUCCGUUUUUCAGAUUUGGCACAUGUUCAAGAGUAUACCGUUUUGGAAUCCUCUAUUCCAAAACAGUACUCGAUUCCGGUGAACGAUUCCUCAGAAUCUGUUCCGGAACUUCCCAUUCUAAAUUCCAAAGAAAUAAAAUAUUUUUGGUGUUACUCCUGUCAAAAUUCUCGUACGAAUUCUUUGCCCUGGUUGCUGCGAUUGCGGUAUUCAAAAUUUUCGAUGUGGUUGCGCCAUUUGUUUUGUGGUUCAAUGUGUUGCGUGGCUAUUUGUUUGCUUGUUUUUGUUUGAAUUGUUUAAUGUUUUUUCUCGUUUCAUGAGCUGUUUCUAGUUAGGAGCGUUUUUAGCAAUUACAGAUGACGAUUGAUUACGAUGAUGACGAUUAUAUGGCAAAGAAGACGAUGAUGAUUAAAUGCGAUGAAUAUUGGAUGGAUUAUUGAAAUGCCGAAUUUCUGGACUGGACUGGACGAUCCUGACGGAGAGGCCUUUUUUCUGAGAUGGAAGAUUUUUUAUUAUAAAUGAAAUGUAUUUUAUUUUUGUAUUGUUUGAAAUAAAUGUAUGAAA